rnacentral:lncRNA from 1 species
CGGGAGGAGCCCCUGGAUCGUCCCCAUGGAGACACCGCUGGGGUCCCCAACCCCCAUCCCCAGAUCCGGCGGAAUCCCAAAAUUCCAGAGAGCCAAAAUUCGGGAGCCAAACGCUUUAUUUAAAAACAGGUCUCUGUACAGAGGGAAAUUCCAGGUGGGAAUUUCGGGAAUUGGAUCCCGUUAUCCACCGGGAAGCAGCAGAGAGGGACGGGGGUGGAGGGCUGGGAAUGGAUCCCAUCCCGAAUUCCCUUUUCCCACUUUUUUUGUCCCCGAGGAUGGAGGUGAUGGAAGACUUUUCCCAUGGAUUGGGAUCCCCCGGGGUAUUGCUGAGAGGAGCCGGGAAUUCCUGGGAAUUUUGGGAAUUCUUGGGAAUUCUGGGAUUCAGAGGAGGCGGACGAGGCGUCCCAGGGUUUCGGCCACCUUGACCCUCACGGCAGGAACCGGAUCCUUGAGCAGCAGCUGCAGGGCUGGAACGGCAGAGACCGGAUUGGGAUCGGGAUUGGGAUUGGAUUGGGAUUGGAUUGGGAUUGGAUUGGGAUUGGGAUUGGAUUGGGACUGGAUUGGGAUUGGAUUGGAAUUAGAUUGGGAUCGGGAUUGGAUUGGGAUCGGGAUUGGAUUGGGAUCAGGAUUGGGAUUGGAUUGGAUUGGAUUGGAUUGGUAUUGGAGUCAGGAUCAGAAUCAGGAUCAGGAUCAGGAACGGGAUUGGGAUCGGGAUUGGGAUUCGAGUUGGGAUUGGGGUUGGGAUUGGGAUCAGGAUUGGGAUCCCCCAGCCCUGGACAUUGAAAACUCCGGGGAUUCCCAGGAAUUCCCACCCCAUUCCCGCGCCAUUCCCACGCUGUUCCCGCUGGAUUCCUGCUUUAUUCCCAUCACAUUCCCGCUUUUUUGGUGCUGCAUUCCCACUCCUUUCCCCACCACAUUCCCACCGGAUUCCCACUGGAAUUCCUCUGCAUUCCCCCCAGAUCAAUUCCCGGAGCCACUCCAGGAUUUGGGAAUGGGGCUGGGAGAGAUUUGCUCAGGAAAAUCCCACGGAAUUCCAAAUUCCCAACACUCCCAGGAAAUUCCAAUGCUCCCAUCCCGGAAUUCCCAAUCCUGAAAAAUUUGCUGGAUCUGGGAAUUUUUAUGGAUUUUUUUUUCCCCAAAAAAUGAGGAUUUUAUUCCCAUCGUUAUCGAGGACUUGAGGACCGACAGGGAAAAAUUUUUCCCUGUUUUUCCUGGGAUUUUGGUUUUUUUUGGGUUUUUUUUGGUGGGAAGAGCAAAAAAAUUGGAAUGAAAUUUAAAUGAAAGGCUUGGGAUGGGCCUAAAAAAUAAAUAUGAAAGACUCAGGAUGAUUCCA